UACGGGGGGGGCAAGCGUUGUUCGGAAUUACUGGGCGUAAAGGGCUCGUAGGCGGCCAACUAAGUCAGACGUGAAAUCCCUCGGCUUAACCGGGGAACUGCGUCUGAUACUGGAUGGCUUGAAUCCGGGAGAGGGAUGCGGAAUUCCAGGUGUAGCGGUGAAAUGCGUAGAUAUCUGGAGGAACACCGAUGGCGAAGGCAGCCCCCUGGGCCAAUACUGACGCUCAGGCACGAAAGCGUGGGGAGCAAACAGG
rnacentral:rRNA from 1 species